CGGUGAUUGCGCAUGGGAGAAACUCUGACCAGCAUUCCGUGUGCGUGAUGAAGGCCUUAGGACUGUAAAACACUUUUAGUAGGGAAGAAAAAAAUGACGGUGCCUACACAAUAAGCAACGGCUAAUUCUUUCCCCCCCGCCCCGGGUUAUUGCCAA
rnacentral:rRNA from 1 species